rnacentral:tRNA from 1 species
GAUAGAUCAGCGCGGGUACCGCCAUGCCGGCGGCGGCGGCGAGAAAGGGCAGGCGGCGCUUUUGCGCGUCGUUCAACUCGCCAUCGAUCA